AACCCAUCUUUUUUUAAAAAAAUUCAGAGAGCUUUCAGAUUCGCUCUCUCACAGCCCUCCAAUCCGGCCAAUAGGGCCGUCGCCUACGCCACCAUAGAUCCACCACGGGCGGUGGCGUGCGACCCGAAGGUCAAUUUUAACCCGAUUUAAAAGGCCGUUUGGUGACGGUGCCUUUCUUGGCCCAAAGACCGAAGGAAAAGGAGACCCUCGUGCCCUCCCUCGGCACGAUUUCGGCGGCCGCAAAGGGCUCCAGCGAUGGGACUUGCGGGCGACUCCAGGUGACAGAGCAGUGUCAGACGCAUGGAGGAGGUGGCGUGCGGCAGACUGGUGAGACCGACGAUUGGCGAGCUGAGCGACGGUGGCGCUGAAGGCCGACCAGGGGGCGUGCAGUGCUAAGAGGCUUGGCUGGGGCUAGGGUUUCUGCUGCUAGUUUAGGUUACGGGCUAAUUAUUUGGGCUUAGGGUUUUUACUAUUGGGUUGUUCUGAUUAGGUCUAUUUUUGGAUUUGUAAUGGACUUGGUUUAUUUUGUGUUUGGGUUUGAUUUGGUGGGCCGAGCAAAAUGGGUUCGUACAGAGGACAGAGAAGAUGGCCAAUAGAUAGACAAGGUCGGUGUUCCAAUUAGGGAUUGGUGAUGCAUAAGAAACUGGAGUUUGAGGAUGUUUCUGUAUCAGCAUAGAGCAUGUGCUUUUGUCAUGAUCCGUAAGCAAAGCUACCAGAAGUACUAGAUCGAGAUCGGAACGAUGCGAGCACGAGAAAACCUAGUCACAAAAUUAUCGAAGUGUCCCAAAAGACUUUAGAAAUUCGAAGAAGCGAUAGAUCCUUACAGAGCCGAGUAGAAGAUUCCAGAAGCUCUAAAACUCUCCAUUCAUGUAUAGCCUAUAUAAGUAGAAGCUCUCCUCUCUAUUUGUACAUCCAAACUAGUCGUUGGGUAAUAUAUCUAAGUUCUCAUGCUUGUCUAGGCUAAGAAGGCAUUCUCCAACUUCUCUUGUGUUCGGCCCGUGACAAAUGAUAUCAGCGCUUUGAAUUUGUCCUGUGGUGGUGAACGAUGGCAACCGAGUUCAAGAAGGUGAGUGAGCAAGAGGAUGGCGUGGUGGAGAACCAAGGUGUUGUGAAGGGCAAGAAAGGAGGCUCUAAGGACUCUGUGAAGAUAAUUGAGACCCGGAUGGCCGAGGUUGAGUCCGCCAUGAGUGAUGUCCAAAGCUAGAAGAAACCAAGGAUUCUCUUGAGGCGAUCAAAUCCGACAUGAUGGAGUCCUAAGACAAACUCAAAGAACAACUUAGAGAAGAGCUACAAUAGGCCAUGAAGGAGGCCUUAGGUGAUAUUGCCGAAAGUACAAGGCCCUCGAGGUGUAGGUGGAAGUAAUGGAUGGCGAGAUCAAGAGGCUCAAGAGUGGUGGCAUGCUAAUGGUAUCAAGCUAUCGAGUAGAUGUUCCGAGGUCAAAGGAGUUCAAAGGCACGAGGGAUGCCAAAGGGGUGGACAACUUCUUUUGGAGUGUCGAGUAAUACUUUUGUGCUGGGAUCGAGGAGGAUUCCGUUAAGGUAAACACCGCUUUGAUGUACUUAGUUGAUGUUGUCUUGCUUUGGUGGUGUCUUAGGAGUGACGAUGCAAUGUGUGAAAGUGCAACCGUGGAAACUUGGGAGAUUAGGCUGCAAUUCUAUCCGAAAAUGCGAACAAGAAGCCUCGAUUGAAACUUAGGCAGCUUACCCAGCGCAAAACAAUGCGCGACUAUGUGCGUUAGUUUUUGGAGUUAAUGCUUCAAAUUUCAAAAUAGACAAAAGUGAGGCUCUAUUUAACUUCCUAAAUGGGCUAAGCAAUGAGCAAAAGUAGAGUUUCAGCAUAAA